rnacentral:misc_RNA from 1 species
ACCGUGUCGGGCGAUGUCGGCUAUACGUUUGCCGAGCUGCUGUUUUCGCCGCGGCUGGGUCUCAAGGCCGAUGCCAUCAGCGGCGACAAGAACCUGAAGGACGGCACACUGGGCACCUUNNNNCGAAGCUGCCCUAUUUCUCCGAAGCGAAUCUGGUCGCGCCGAUGAAUCUGCUCGAUCUCCAGCCCAAUGUAACGCUCGCAAUCACGCCGAAGGUCAGUUUGAACGUCGGCUGGAA